rnacentral:rRNA from 1 species
GAUGAACGCUGGCGGCGUGCCUAAUACAUGCAAGUCGAGCGAACAGACGAGGAGCUUGCUCCUCUGACGUUAGCGGCGGACGGGUGAGUAACACGUGGAUAACCUACCUAUAAGACUGGGAUAACUUCGGGAAACCGGAGCUAAUACCGGAUAAUAUAUUGAACCGCAUGGUUCAAUAGUGAAAGACGGUUUUGCUGUCACUUAUAGUUGGAUCCGCGCCGCAUUAGCUAGUUGGUAAGGUAACGGCUUACCAAGGCAACGAUGCGUAGCCGACCUGAGAGGGUGAUCGGCCACACUGGAACUGAGACACGGUCCAGACUCCUACGGGAGGCAGCAGUAGGGAAUCUUCCGCAAUGGGCGAAAGCUUGACGGAGCAACGCCGCGUGAGUGAUGAAGGUCUUCGGAUCGUAAAACUCUGUUAUUAGGGAAGAACAAAUGUGUAAGUAACUAUGCACGUCUUGACGGUACCUAAUCAGAAGGCCACGGCUAACUACGUG